ACGUCCACAUUACGUUUAACUACCGGUUCUCGUACGAUCACAGAAGUUAAGAAAUGUCAAGCCUGGACAGUAUCUAGAUGGGUGACCACUUGGGUAAACCAGGUGUUGUGA